rnacentral:rRNA from 1 species
GAUGAACGCUGGCGGCGUGCCUAAUACAUGCAAGUCGAGCGGCAGCGCGAGUAGUUUACUACUUGGCGGCGAGCGGCGGACGGCUGAGUAACGCGUAGGAACGUACCCCAAACUGAGGGAUAAGCACCAGAAAUGGUGUCUAAUACCGCAUGUGCUCCACGGAGUAAAGCUUCGGCGGUUUGGGAACGGCCUGCGUCCGAUUAGCUUGUUGGUGAGGUAAAAGCUCACCAAGGCGGCGAUCCGUAACUGGUCUGAGAGGAUGAUCAGUCACACUGGAACUGAGACACGGUCCAGACUCCUACGGGAGGCAGCAGUGGGGAAUAUUGGACAAUGGGGGGAACCCUGAUCCAGCCAUGCCGCGUGUGUGAAGAAGGUCUUAGGAUUGUAAAGCACUUUAAGUUGGGAGGAAGAGCAGUUAACUAAUAUUUGACUGUUUUGACGUUACCGACAGAAUAAGCACCGGCUAACUCCGUGCCAGCCGCCGCAGUAA